rnacentral:rRNA from 1 species
CCUACGGUCGGCAGCAGUGAGGAAUAUUGGUCAAUGGACGAGAGUCUGAACCAGCCAAGUCGCGUGAAGGAUGACUGCCCUAUGGGUUGUAAACUUCUUUUAUUCAGGAAUAAAAAGCGGCACGUGUACCUUUUUGCAUGUACUUUAUGAAUAAGGAUCGGCUAACUCCGUGCCAGCAGCCGCGGUAAUACGGAGGAUCCGAGCGUUAUCCGGAUUUAUUGGGUUUAAAGGGAGCGUAGAUGGGUUGUUAAGUCAGUUGUGAAAGUUUGCGGCUAAACCGUAAAAUUGCAAUUGAUACUGGCAGUCUUGAGUACAGUUGAGGUAGGCGGAAUACGUGGAGUAGCGGUGAAAUGCUUAGAUAUCACGUAGAACCCCGAUUGCGAAGGCAGCUUACUAAACUGUGACUGACAUUGAUGCUCGAGAGUGUGGGUAGCAAACAGGAUUAGAUACCCUUGUAGUC